rnacentral:rRNA from 1 species
CCAAUAGCGUAUAUUAAAGUUGUUGCAGUUAAAAAGCUCGUAGUUGAAUUUCGGGGUCAGUAGGUUGGUCAUGCCUUCGGUAUGUACUGGUCUCACUGAUUCCUCCUUCUUGAAGAUCCGUAAUGUCAUUAAUUUGGUGUUGCGGGGAAUCAGGACUGUUACUUUGAAAAAAUUAGAGUGUUUAAAGCAGGCUAACGCUUGAAUACAUUAGCAUGGAAUAAUGAAAUAGGACGUUUGAUCCUAUUUUGUUGGUUUCUAGGAUUGACGUAAUGAUUAAUAGGGAUAGUUGGGGGCAUUAGUAUUCAAUUGUCAGAGGUGAAAUUCUUGGAUUUAUUGAAGACUAACUACUGCGAAAGUAUUUGCCAAGGAUGUUUUCAUUAAUCAAGAACGAAAGUUAGGGGAUCGAAGACGAUCAGAUACCGUCGUAGUCUUAACCAUAAACUAUGCCGACUAGGGAUCGGAUGAUGUUAAUUUUUUAAUGACUCAUUCGGCGCCUUACG